rnacentral:rRNA from 1 species
AUUGAACGCUGGCGGCAGGCCUAACACAUGCAAGUCGAGCGGAUGAAGGGAGCUUGCUCCUGGAUUCAGCGGCGGACGGGUGAGUAAUGCCUAGGAAUCUGCCUGGUAGUGGGGGAUAACGUCCGGAAACGGGCGCUAAUACCGCAUACGUCCUGAGGGAGAAAGUGGGGGAUCUUCGGACCUCACGCUAUCAGAUGAGCCUAGGUCGGAUUAGCUAGUUGGUGGGGUAAAGGCCUACCAAGGCGACGAUCCGUAACUGGUCUGAGAGGAUGAUCAGUCACACUGGAACUGAGACACGGUCCAGACUCCUACGGGAGGCAGCAGUGGGGUAUAUUGGACAAUGGGCGAAAGCCUGGUCCAGCCAUGCCGCGUGUGUGAAGAAGGUCUUCGGAUUGUAAAGCACUUUAAGUUGGGAGGAAGGGCAGUAAGUUAAUACCUUGCUGUUUUGACGUUACCAACAGAAUAAGUACCGGCUAACUUCGUG